CAAAGACAUUUUAACAGAAAUGUUUAGCGAUAAUGUCAUAAACUGGGGCCGUAUAAUUAUGGUUUUUGUGUUUGGAGCGAGGUUAGCUGUUUUAUGUAAAGAUAGAAAUAGAACUGAUUUGAUUGAUCAAGUAAUACAGAAUGUAGACAAAUACUUGAAGACGGAAUUUUUGGAAUGGAUUAAUAUCCAAGGAGGUUGGAACAAUUUCGAUCAAUCGUAUACUCAACACAAAACGACAGCAGAAAUUCCUCUAAUGAACGUUUCGUUAGGGAUAGCGUUAAGCCUAAUAGCAACCUUGUAUCUAUACAACACAUUCUGUUAGGAUGAUAUGUGUGAAUUAUGUGUAUAUCGACAUACACUUGUCCAGGAUGUUUCUUUUGCCAGCCGUCAAUUGGUGUAUAAAAUACCUACAGGAACUUUGCUGGUGAAUUUUACAAUAAAGGUGAAUCUGGUCCAGAGUCAGAAGAAAAUGGCAAUGGGAAAACUACACAGAAAUAUAUUUCGAUGUUCUUGUAGGACUAGAGCGAACCAGGUAAUCUGGAAUACUGGUAUUUGUUUUCAUGCAAAAUUUGAUCAAAUCAAAUAACGUUAACUUUUAUUCUACAGUGGGAAACGUUAUGCCAGUAAUCGAGCAUCACAACGCGAGAUAUUGAAGGAAUUCCCGGAAGAGCGUUUGAUAAAUGAACACUUAAUACAUGAAUUUUUAAAUUAUAUGAUGAUCUGUAUAAUUAUUAGUUUGAAACAAAAUAAAUGAAAAGCACUCUUGCUUAUUGUUGAAACAUA